CUGCUCUGCCCAUUUUUUUGGGCGCUUCCUCCCUAGACUUGGGCCGCGUCGGGCGACCGAUGCGGUCUUUUUUUUGGCAAA
rnacentral:sRNA from 1 species